rnacentral:rRNA from 1 species
UGAGUAACACGUGGGUAACCUGCCCAUCAGAAGGGGAUAACACUUGGAAACAGGUGCUAAUACCGUAUAACAAUCGAAACCGCAUGGUUUUGAUUUGAAAGGCGCUUUCGGGUGUCGCUGAUGGAUGGACCCGCGGUGCAUUAGCUAGUUGGUGAGGUAACGGCUCACCAAGGCUACGAUGCAUAGCCGACCUGAGAGGGUGAUCGGCCACAUUGGGACUGAGACACGGCCCAAACUCCUACGGGAGGCAGCAGUAGGGAAUCUUCGGCAAUGGACGAAAGUCUGACCGAGCAACGCCGCGUGAGUGAAGAAGGUUUUCGGAUCGUAAAACUCUGUUGUUAGAGAAGAACAAGGAUGAGAGUAACUGUUCAUCCCUUGACGGUAUCUAACCAGAAAGCCACGGCUAACUACGUGCCAGCAGCCGCGGUAAUACGUAGGUGGCAAGCGUUGUCCGGAUUUAUUGGGCGUAAAGCGAGCGCAGGCGGUUUCUUAAGUCUGAUGUGAAAGCCCCCGGCUCAACCGGGGAGGGUCAUUGGAAACUGGGAGACUUGAGUGCAGAAGAGGAGAGUGGAAUUCCAUGUGUAGCGGUGAAAUGCGUAGAUAUAUGGAGGAACACCAGUGGCGAAGCGGCUCUCUGGUCUGUAACUGACGCUGAGCUCGAAAGCGUGGGGAGCAAACAGGAUUAGAUACCCUGGUAGUCCACGCCGUAAACGAUGAGUGCUAAGUGUGGAGGGUUUCCGCCCUUCAGUGCUGCAGCUAACGCAUUAAGCACUCCGCCUGGGGAGUACGACCGCAAGGUUGAAACUCAAAGGAAUUGACGGGGGCCCGCACAAGCGGUGGAGCAUGUGGUUUAAUUCGAAGCAACGCGAAGAACCUUACCAGGUCUUGACAUCCUUUGACCACUCUAGAGAUAGAGCUUCCCCUUCGGGGGCAAAGUGACAGGUGGUGCAUGGUUGUCGUCAGCUCGUGUCGUGAGAUGUUGGGUUAAGUCCCGCAACGAGCGCAACCCUUAUUGUUAGUUGCCAUCAUUCAGUUGGGCACUCUAGCAAGACUGCCGGUGACAAACCGGAGGAAGGUGGGGAUGACGUCAAAUCAUCAUGCCCCUUAUGACCUGGGCUACACACGUGCUACAAUGGGAAGUACAACGAGUCGCGAAGUCGCGAGGCUAAGCUAAUCUCUUAAAGCUUCUCUCAGUUCGGAUUGUAGGCUGCAACUCGCCUACAUGAAGCCGGAAUCGCUAGUAAUCGCGGAUCAGCCGCCG